rnacentral:rRNA from 1 species
AUGGUGGCCACCGGGUCAGCCAGUCUUCGCAAUUCUUGUCACCGAUGGUCAGCCAGUCCCCUUGGACAUGCUGAGGCCGCCACCGACCACUCUGCGCUGGUGUCCAUCAAGUCGCUGAUAACCAGCGACCCGGCAUCGGCACUGGCCUCAUGGGGCGGCAACCGGUCGCUCCCUCUGUGCCGGUGGCGGGGCGUAACGUGCGGCGCUCGUGGGCGUGUCGUAGCGCUGGACCUCAGCAACCUAGGCCUUUCAGGUGCUAUUGCCCCCUCAGUAGCCAACCUUACCUACCUGAGAAUGCUCCAGCUUCCCAUGAACCGUCUCUCCGGUGCCAUACCAUCGGAGAUUGCCCGUCUCCUCGACCUCAGGCAUGUCAACCUGAGCCACAACUUCUUUGAAGGUGGCAUCCCGGCAUCACUAUCACAGUGCCAGCAGCUUGUGAGCAUCAGCCUUGGAUACAACAACCUCACCGGAGGAAUACCUCCAGACAUGGGUCAUUUGCUCAGCUUGCGCGGAGUCUGGAUGCAGUACAACAAACUGACAGGAGUGAUCCCUUCAGAGAUUGGCAACCUCCCCCUAAAUCUAGUAAGUCUUGACCUGAACUACAAUCACUUGACAGGUUCACUCCCUUCUUCUCUUGGUAACCUUCAGAGAAUCAAGAAUUUGCAAGCGAGGGGGAAUCAACUCACAGGGCUGAUUCCAUUAUUCUUGGGAAACCUCUCGGCAUUAACUACCCUUAAUCUUGGAACCAACAGAUUUGAAGGGGAGAUUGUGCCAUUGCAAGCACUGUCAUCUCUGUCUGUCCUCAUUUUGCAAGAAAAUAACCUUCAUGGUGGCCCCCCUUCCUGGCUAGGAAACCUCUCCUCACUCGUAUACCUAAGCUUGGGAGUUAAUAGCUUAAGUGGGGCUAUUCCCGAAUCAUUAGGGAACCUUCAUAUGUUAUCUGCUCGUCUUGUUCUCGCCGAGAACAGUUUUUCAGGUAGCAUUCCUUCCUCCCUCGGAAACCUUCAUGCUCUUUCCGAGUUAUAUCUAGACACGAAUCAGCUCACUGGACAAGUUCCUUCUUCUCUUUUCAAUAUGUCCUCUCUCAGCGUAUUUAAUCUACAGUUCAACCAGCUAACUGGAUCAUUGCCAAGUGGGAAAAAUUUCAACUUUCCAGUACUUAACACAUUUAAUGUAGGGGAUAAUAGGCUCCAUGGUGUUAUUCCACCUUGGCUGUGCAACUGUUCUAUGCUUAGCACAAUUGCAGUAGAAGUGAAUAUAAUUUCAGGAACAGUCCCGGCUUGUCUUGGACAUAACCUAAAAAGUUUGGCAGUCCUAACCCUUGGACAAAAUCACCUACAUGCAAAUGAAGAUGAUCGUUGGGACUUCAUGUCCAGUCUAACUAAUAGCAGCCGUCUCAAGUUUUUUGAUUUCGGCAGCAACAAAUUUCGAGGUGUGCUACCAAAUUCAGUUGCCAAUCUUUCUACAGAACUGCACGCUCUCAGUAUGUCCAACAACAUGAUAAGUGGCAAUAUUCCUGAAGGCAUCGGGAACCUUGUUAAUUUAUCAUAUCUUCUGAUGAGCAUCAAUUCUUUCGAGGGUACUAUUCCUUCCUCUCUUGGUAGACUCCAGAAGCUGAGCUACUUAUACCUCGAUUUGAACAAUCUCUCAGGGCAAAUUCCGCCAACCCUUGGCAAUCUCACAUUAUUGAAUAAACUCGCUCUUGGAUCAAAUUCACUUGAUGGACCUAUUCCAUCCAGCCUUAGGAGCUGUCCUUUAGAACUAUUGGAUCUCGAGCACUAUAAGCUCAGUGGUCCGAUUCCAAAGGAAAUCUUCCUCAUAUCUACCUUAUCUGACUUCAUGUACUUCCAAAGCAACUUGUUUAAUGGGUCGCUACCACUGGAGAUUGGUAGCUUAAAACAUAUUACAGACAUCGAUUUGUCUGAUAAUCAAUUUUCUGGUGAGAUUCCUGCCUCUAUUGGUGAGUGUGAAAGCCUGCAAUUUUUAAAGAUGCAAAUGAACUUUCUUCAAGGUGGAAUCCCGGCAUCAAUGGGGCAGCUGAAAGGCCUGGAAAUACUUGAUCUUUCACAUAACAACUUGUCGGGAGAAAUUCCUGAGUUUCUUGGGAGAAUAAAAGGCCUUGGUAGUUUGAACCUGUCAUUCAACUACUUUGAAGGUGAGGUCCCAAAAGAGGGAAUAUUUCUUGAUGCGAAUGCAACCGCAGUUGAGGGAAACCAAGGACUGUGUGGGGGUAUCCCUGCAAUGAAGUUGCAUCCCUGCUCCGUCCUGACCACCAAGAAACGGUCCUUCAAGCUUAUCAUGAUAAUCUCCAUAAGCAGUGCAGUGCUGUUGAUUAUCUUCAUUUUAGCACUGUUUGCUUUCUGGUACAGCAGGAGCAAGUCACACCAAGCUAACGCAGACCUGUCGCCCAUCAAUGACUUGCAUAUCAGAGUAUCUUAUGCUGAAUUAGCCAGUGCAACUAAUGGUUUUGCUUCCGAGAACCUCAUCGGAGUAGGAAGCUUCGGCUCGGUGUACAAGGGAAGAAUGGUGAUCCAUGAGCAGCAGGUCAUUGUUGCUGUGAAAGUGUUCAAUCUCCAACAACGUGGUGCAUCUCAAAGUUUUCUUGCAGAAUGUGAGACCCUGAGAUGUGUUCGACAUCGGAACCUUCUGAAGAUCUUGACAGUCUGCUCAAGUAUGGAUUUUCAGAGCCAGGAUUUCAAGGCUCUUGUGUAUGAAUUUCUUCCGAAUGGAAAUUUAGAUCAAUGGAUACACAAGCCUCUUGAGGAAAAUGAAGAUAGUGUGUUAAAUCUAAUCACAAGGCUCAACAUCGCCAUUGAUGUGGCUUUUGCACUGGAUUAUCUUCACCAACACAGGCCAUUGCCAGUUAUUCACUGUGAUCUCAAGCCAAGCAAUAUUCUCCUUGACAAUGACAUGGUUGCUCAUGUUGGUGACUUUGGCCUUGCAAGAGCCCUGCAUCAAGACCAGAGAGAAUCAAGUGGCUGGGCUGCCAUGAGAGGAACAAUUGGCUAUGCUGCUCCAGAGUAUGGUCUGGGCAACGAGGUUUCAAUCCUGGGUGACGUGUAUAGCUAUGGUGUAUUGUUGCUGGAGAUGUUUACUGGGAAAAGACCAACCGACGGUGAGCUUGGAGAAGCUCUAGGUCUUCACAGAUAUGUUCAGAAUGCACUUGCAGAAAGAGUGGCCAAUAUUGUGGAUCACAAGUUGUUAUUAAAGGACGAGGAUGGAGAAGCAAACACCUCAAAUCCUGAUAGAAGAGGAGAUAUAACAAUUGCUUGCAUCAAUUCAAUUUUGAAUAUUGGAGUUUCAUGUUCAAUGGAAAUUCCUACGGAUCGCAUGCAAAUUGGAGAUGCUUUGAAAGAGUUGCUAACACUAAGAGACAUUCACACGCGCCUUUCCAGUAUGCAAGCGGCAAGUCAUUGCAGCAUUAAAAGCUCUCAUGGAUAUGAAUCUAUUAUCUUGAAGGUACUAUAG